CAUGGGGAGCGAACAGGAUUAGAUACCCUGGUAGUCCAUGCCGUAAACGUUGGGCACUAGGUGUGGGGACCAUUCCACGGUUUCCGCGCCGCAGCUAACGCAUUAAGUGCCCCGCCUGGGGAGUACGGCCGCAAGGCUAAAACUCAAAGGAAUUGACGGGGGCCCGCACAAGCGGCGGAGCAUGCGGAUUAAUUCGAUGCAACGCGAAGAACCUUACCAAGGCUUGACAUACACCGGACCGGGCCAGAGAUGGUCUUUCCCCCUUGUGGGGCUGGUGUACAGGUGGUGCAUGGUUGUCGUCAGCUCGUGUCGUGAGAUGUUGGGUUAAGUCCCGCAACGAGCGCAACCCUCGUUCUAUGUUGCCAGCACGUGAUGGUGGGGACUCAUAGGAGACUGCCGGGGUCAACUCGGAGGAAGGUGGGGAUGACGUCAAAUCAUCAUGCCCCUUAUGUC
rnacentral:rRNA from 1 species